rnacentral:rRNA from 1 species
UACGUAGGGGGCUAGCGUUGUCCGGAUUUAUUGGGCGUAAAGAGCGUGUAGGCGGCUUUACAGGUCCGUUGUGAAAACUCGAGGCUCAACCUCGAGACGCCGGUGGAAACCGUAAGGCUAGAGUCCGGAAGAGGAAAGUGGAAUUCCCGGUGUAGCGGUGAAAUGCGCAGAUAUCGGGAAGAACACCCGUGGCGAAGGCGGCUUUCUGGGACGGUACUGACGCUGAGACGCGAAAGCGUGGGGAGCGAACAGG